rnacentral:rRNA from 1 species
UACGUAGGGUGCGAGCGUUGUCCGGAUUUAUUGGGCGUAAAGGGCUCGUAGGCGGCCUGUCGCGUCGGGAGUGAAAGCCCACUGCUUAACGGUGGGUCUGCUUUCGGUACGGGCGGGCUAGAGUAUGGCAGGGGAGACUGGAAUUCCUGGUGUAGCGGUGGAAUGCGCAGAUAUCAGGAGGAACACCGGUGGCGAAGGCGGGUCACUGGACCGAGACUGACGCUGAGGCGCGAAAGCGUGGGGAGCAAACAGG